rnacentral:misc_RNA from 1 species
GAAAUGCGAUAACUAGUGUGAAUUGCAGAAUUCCGUGAAUCAUCGAGUCUUUGAACGCACAUUGCGCCCCCUGGUAUUCCGGGGGGCAUGCCUGUCCGAGCGUCAUUGCUGCCCAUCAAGCACGGCUUGUGUGUUGGGUCGUCGUCCCCUCUCCGGGGGGGACGGGCCCCAAAGGCAGCGGCGGCACCGCGUCCGAUCCUCGAGCGUAUGGGGCUUUGUCACCCGCUCUGUAGGCCCGGCCGGCGCUUGCCGAACGCAAAUCAAUCUUUUUCCAGGUUGACCUCGGAUCAGGUAGGGAUACCCGCUGAACUUAAGA